GACGAACGCUGGCGGCGUGCUUAACACAUGCAAGUCGAACGGAAAGGCCCUGCUUUUGUGGGGUGCUCGAGUGGCGAACGGGUGAGUAACACGUGAGUAACCUGCCCUUGACUUUGGGAUAACUUCAGGAAACUGGGGCUAAUACCGGAUAGGAGCUCCUGCUGCAUGGUGGGGGUUGGAAAGUUUCGGCGGUUGGGGAUGGACUCGCGGCUUAUCAGCUUGUUGGUGGGGUAGUGGCUCACCAAGGCUUUGACGGGUAGCCGGCCUGAGAGGGUGGCCGGCCACAUUGGGACUGAGAUACGGCCCAGACUCCUACGGGAGGCAGCAGUGGGGAAUAUUGCACAAUGGGCGGAAGCCUGAUGCAGCAACGCCGCGUGCGGGAUGACGGCCUUCGGGUUGUAAACCGCUUUCGCCUGUGACGAAGCGUGAGUGACGGUAAUGGGUAAAGAAGCACCGGCUAACUACGUG
rnacentral:rRNA from 1 species